CUGGGAGUACCUGAGAGUGAAUGUGCACGCUCUAGUUGUUGAGGUGUUGCAACCUGCUGAGUACCUGCGCUUCAAGGAGGAACUUGUUGAUGGAAGGUGAAGAAAAGGCUCGGAGUUUUGUUAAGUGGUGUACUUGGUAUGUUACUUACACUAUUUCUAAACGUCUCUCUCACUCUUAUUGCAGUUCUAAUGGAAACUUUGUGCUUGAGUUGGACUUUGAACCCUUUACGGCAUCCUUCCCCCGCCCAACUCUUAACAAGUCAAUUGGAAAUGGUGUGCAGUUCCUCAACCGCCACCUUUCUGCCAAACUCUUCCAUGACAAGGAGAGCUUGCACCCACUUUUGGAAUUCCUCAGGCUUCACAGCGUCAACGGAAAGGUAGGUAUCUAUUUUUCGCCUUUAAACUAAAGCAAGUAGUGAGAAGUGUAUGCAUGCGUUAGACACAUUCUUCAGUAGUUCAAUGACUUGAAUAUCUACAUCCAUGUUUGGACCAUGUCUAGUAACCAGAUCUGGAGUAGAAAUCUAAUAUGUAUGUGGCAACAGAAUCUCUAACAUGUUAAACACGAGGCAUGCAGUUAGUUCAUUCUUUUGCUUAUGGUUUUAGUGUUGUUCUUGUGUGUAUGUGUGCUUUGAUUUUACUGAUUGAUUUUCUUUUUCGUAUGCAGACUUUGAUGUUGAAUGACAGAAUUCAAAACCCUGAUGCUCUUCAACAUGUUCUGAGGAAAGCUGAGGAGUAUCUGGGUACAGUGCCUCCUGAAACCCCCUACUCAGAAUUUGAGCACAAGUUCCAGGAAAUUGGUUUGGAGAGAGGGUGGGGUGCGAACGCAGAGCUUGUACUUGAGUCAAUUCAACUUCUCUUGGAUCUUCUUGAAGCCCCUGAUCCGUGCACCCUUGAGACUUUCCUUGGAAGAAUCCCUAUGGUCUUUAAUGUUGUUAUUCUUUCGCCCCAUGGUUACUUUGCCCAAGAUAAUGUCUUGGGAUACCCUGACACUGGUGGUCAGGUUGUUUACAUCUUGGAUCAAGUCCGUGCUUUGGAGAAUGAGAUGCUCCAUCGCAUUAAGCAACAAGGAUUGGACAUUGUUCCUCGUAUUCUUAUUGUAUGUCCUGUUAUAUAUAGAUUUUUUAUGUCUUAUUAGCAAGUUUACUUGUGUACAGUGUGUGGCAUGUGGAUGUGUUCUUCUAAUCUGUGCUUGUGGAUGUUGUUAAAUGCAGAUCACUCGUCUUCUCCCAGAUGCAGUAGGUACUACUUGUGGCCAACGUCUUGAGAAGGUGUUUGGAACUGAACACUCCCACAUUCUUCGAGUUCCCUUUAGAACUGAGAAUGGGAUUGUUCGCAAGUGGAUCUCAAGAUUCGAAGUCUGGCCCUACUUGGAAACUUACACCGAGGUAAACUUUUCGCCCCAUAAUAAUUUUAACAAAGUUUAAGCAUUUUGGCGUGUUUUCACUUUUCUAAUCAAUUGUCUCUUGUUAACAGGAUGUUGCUCAUGAGCUUGCCAAAGAGUUGCAAGGCAAGCCAGAUCUGAUCGUUGGAAACUACAGUGAUGGAAACAUUGUUGCCUCUUUGUUGGCCCAUAAACUAGGUGUCACUCAGGUUGGUCCACAACUAUCUAGUUAACGUUGUCUAACUAUAUAUGUUGGAACUCAGAGGCCUAAGAUUUUAUCUUUAUCUAUUUAGUGUACCAUUGCUCAUGCACUUGAGAAGACCAAAUACCCUGAAUCCGAUAUUUACUGGAAAAAAUUGGAAGAGAGAUACCAUUUCUCUUGCCAAUUCACAGCUGAUCUAUUUGCCAUGAACCACACAGAUUUCAUUAUCACAAGUACAUUCCAAGAAAUUGCUGGAAGGUGAGUUUCCCCUUUUAUAUUUUUGUUCCUUUACCCAAUUUUCUUAUUGAUUAGAUCACUAAAUCUCUUGAAUCAUUGUACAAAUACUUUUGCAGCAAGGACACUGUUGGACAGUAUGAGUCUCACACAGCUUUCACCCUUCCUGGACUCUACCGUGUUGUGCACGGUAUUGAUGUCUUCGAUCCAAAAUUCAACAUUGUCUCUCCCGGAGCUGAUCAAACCAUUUACUUCUCCCACAAGGAAACUAGCCGUAGGUUGACCUCCUUCCACCCCGAAAUCGAAGAGCUUCUUUACAGCUCAGUCGAGAAUGAAGAACACAUGUUAGUUUCUCCUCUCACUUUGUUUAUCUUAUCUAAUCUUAUCAUGCAAGGUUUUAAUUAAAUUGUCAUCACUUUCAAUCACAAUGUGAGAAAUUACAGACAAAUACAUUGUAAUGGUGUUGUGGAGCAUUGUUUUAAAACCUUGAUAUCAUGUAUGGAACAUUUUGUCUAAUGCAAAAUUUGAUUUGAGACAGAUGUGUGCUGAAGGACCGCACGAAGCCAAUUAUCUUCACCAUGGCAAGGUUGGACCGUGUGAAGAACAUCACAGGACUUGUGGAGUGGUAUGGUAAGAAUGAGAAGCUGAGGGAGUUGGUGAACCUUGUGGUUGUUGCUGGAGACAGGAGGAAGGAGUCUAAGGACUUGGAAGAGAAGGCCGAGAUGAAGAAGAUGUACAGCCUGAUUGAGACCUACAAGUUGAACGGGCAAUUCAGGUGGAUUUCCUCUCAGAUGAACCGUGUGAGGAAUGGAGAGCUGUACCGUGUGAUCAGUGACACCAGGGGAGCCUUUGUGCAGCCUGCAGUGUAUGAGGCAUUUGGUUUGACAGUGGUUGAAGCCAUGACUUGUGGGUUGCCAACAUUUGCCACAUGCAAUGGUGGUCCUGCUGAGAUCAUUGUUCAUGGAAAAUCUGGCUUCCACAUUGAUCCCUACCAUGGUGACCGUGCUGCUGACCUCCUUGUUGAGUUCUUUGAGAAGUGCAAGGUUGAGCCAUCUCACUGGGACACCAUCUCUCAAGCUGGUCUCCAACGUAUUGAAGAGAAGUAAGCAAAUGAAUGUACUUUAUCUUUCAUGGACUCAUCUUGGUCUCAGAGGUUAACCUUUUUCUUUGUUUGCUGGUUUUAUUCCACAGGUACACAUGGCAAAUUUACUCCCAGAGGCUUCUCACCCUCACUGGUGUCUAUGGUUUCUGGAAGCAUGUGUCUAACCUUGAUCGCCUCGAGAGUCGCCGCUAUCUCGAGAUGUUCUAUGCUCUCAAGUACCGCAAAUUGGUAAGUUUAGCAUGUUCAUAUUAUUUUCUCAUCCUAGUUCUACCUUGGAAUAUAUAUAUAUAUAUAAUCUUAUGUUUUCAUUGUUUUUGCCUCAGGCUGAGUCUGUGCCCCUUGCUGUUGAGUAAACUGAGGAUGAAGAGUUGGACAAAGAAAUGGAGGAACCGGCUUUUUCUUUCUCUUUUGGAGUUUGUCGUACUUGAGUUUCACAAAUAAUGCCCGCCCAUGACUUUAAUUCUGUGAUUAAGCUUUCGAUAAGAAGGAGAGAGGGAGAGAAAAAAAAAAAG
rnacentral:lncRNA from 1 species